UACGGAGGGUGCAAGCGUUAUCCGGAUUUACUGGGUUUAAAGGGUGCGUAGGCGGCCCGUUAAGUCAGUGGUGAAAGCCUCCAGCUCAACUGGAGAACUGCCAUUGAUACUGACGGGCUUGAGUACAGACGAGGUAGGCGGAAUUGAUUGUGUAGCGGUGAAAUGCAUAGAUACAAUCAAGAACUCCGAUUGCGUAGGCAGCUUACUAGGCUGUAACUGACGCUGAGGCACGAAAGCGUGGGGAGCGAACAGG
rnacentral:rRNA from 1 species